UACAGAGGGUGCGAGCGUUGUUCGGAAUUACUGGGCGUAAAGCGCACGUAGGCGGAUUGUUAAGUCGGGGGUGAAAUCCUGGAGCUCAACUCCAGAAUUGCCUUCGAUACUGGCUUUCUAGAGGCUGGAAGAGGUUAGUGGAAUUCCCAGUGUAGAGGUGAAAUUCGUAGAUAUUGGGAAGAACACCAGUGGCGAAGGCGGCUAACUGGUCCAGAUCUGACGCUGAGGUGCGAAAGCGUGGGGAGCAAACAGG
rnacentral:rRNA from 1 species